rnacentral:rRNA from 1 species
CACGUAGGGUGCGAGCGUUGUCCGGAAUUAUUGGGCGUAAAGAGCUCGUAGGCGGUUUCGUAAGUCGGGUGUGAAAACUCUAGGCUCAACCUAGAGACGCCACCCGAUACUGCGAUGACUAGAGUCCGGUAGGGGAGUGUGGAAUUCCUGGUGUAGCGGUGAAAUGCGCAGAUAUCAGGAGGAACACCAACGGCGAAGGCAGCACUCUGGGCCGGAACUGACGCUGAGGAGCGAAAGCGUGGGUAGCGAACAGG